UUGCCUGAGAGGCAAAUAUUAUUUAGUUAUUUGCUUCCUUUGUUGGUUGUUCACUUCUACAGGAAUGUAAACUGCAUGAGAGCAGAAACCUUGCCUGUCUCCAUCACAGUGCCUGGGACAGUGCCUGGGAAGUGGUGGUGGGUGCAGCACAAUCAAUAUUUCUGGAAUGAAAUGUUCAGCCCAGCAUGCAACUGCAAGCAUCAAGAUGAAUGAGAGGAAGAAAGAGCAAAUCAGUAUAUUCUGAAGCAUUGACUUUUGCAAGAGCUGGGAGCAUCCGCAGCAUCCGUUCAAAUUGUGACCUCCACC
rnacentral:lncRNA from 10 species